GUUUGAUCAUGGCUGAGGAUGAACGCUGGCGGCGUGCUUAACACAUGCAAGUCGAACGAUGAUCUCCAGCUUGCUGGGGGGAUUAGUGGCGAACGGGUGAGUAACACGUGAGUAACCUGCCCUUGACUCUGGGAUAAGCCUGGGAAACUGGGUCUAAUACCGGAUAUGACCAUCUGGCGCAUGUCAUGGUGGUGGAAAGCUUUUUUGUGGUUUUGGAUGGACUCGCGGCCUAUCAGCUUGUUGGUGGGGUAAUGGCCUACCAAGGCGACGACGGGUAGCCGGCCUGAGAGGGUGACCGGCCACACUGGGACUGAGACACGGCCCAGACUCCUACGGGAGGCAGCAGUGGGGAAUAUUGCACAAUGGGCGCAAGCCUGAUGCAGCGACGCCGCGUGAGGGAUGACGGCCUUCGGGUUGUAAACCUCUUUCAGUAGGGAAGAAGCGUAAGUGACGGUACCUGCAGAAGAAGCGCCGGCUAACUACGUGCCAGCAGCCGCGGUAAUACGUAGGGCGCAAGCGUUAUCCGGAAUUAUUGGGCGUAAAGAGCUCGUAGGCGGUUUGUCGCGUCUGCUGUGAAAGACCGGGGCUCAACUCCGGUUCUGCAGUGGGUACGGGCAGACUAGAGUGCAGUA
rnacentral:rRNA from 3 species